UACAGCAAUCCCACACGUGUAGCCUCCCAGCUGCACCGCUGCAAGCCUCUUUUGUUUGGAGCUAACCAUGACAACGCUGCAGACGGCAGACAUGGCCUUUCCUGGAGACAGCUAGAGGUGUCCGAGCUGCAAGGCUGACUGUUUGCUAGCCAGGUUGUGCAGCAGGGCAAGUAUCCUUCAUUUGUGGCAAGGCUAGAAACUGAGUGGAAGUUUUAAGGCAAUUGGACACCUGCAAUUUGGCUGUCAAGAGUAGAAAGACAAUACCUGCACAGGCAGACUGACACGCACACACAGGCACACGCAAAGCUGUGCACCAUGGAAGCCAACAGGAGGUUUAUGACCGACUUCAAGGGGAGCAGGAGCAAGACCACAGUGGACAGUAACCGGUUUCAGACACUCUAGUGACAUAAAGCCUAGAGGAAACGUCACGCACCGGCCCCCGGACUUUGGAGCAGCCGAGAGCUUCAUUGCUGCUGAGGAUAUAUUCUCUAGCAGGACUCGGAGAUGAAC